GGUCGCGUAGCUCAGCAGGAUAGAGCGUCGGUUUCCUAAACCGCAGGCCGGAGGUUCGAAUCCUCUCGCGAUCACCA
rnacentral:tRNA from 1 species